AUACGUAGGGAGCAAGCGUUGUCCGGAAUCACUGGGCGUAAAGGGCGCGUAGGCGGCUUUUUAAGUCAGGUGUGAAAACCCAAGGCUCAACCUUGGAGUUGCAUCUGAAACUGGAAAGCUUGAGGAUGAGAGAGGAAAGUGGAAUUCCUAGUGUAGCGGUGAAAUCCGUAGAUAUUCGGAGGAACACCAGUGGCGAAGGCGGCUUACUGGUCCAUUACUGACGCUGAGGUGCGAAAGCGUGGGGAGC
rnacentral:rRNA from 1 species